rnacentral:rRNA from 1 species
UGAGGAAUAUUGGACAAUGGGCGCAAGCCUGAUCCAGCCAUGCCGCGUGCAGGAAGAAGCAUCUAUGGUGUGUAAACUGCUUUUGUACGGGAAGAAACACUCCUACGUGUAGGAGCUUGACGGUACCGUAAGAAUAAGGAUCGGCUAACUUCGCGCCCGCAGCCGCGGUAAUACGGAGGAUCCAAGCGUUAUCCGGAAUCAUUGGGUUUAAAGGGUCCGUAGGCGGUUUAAUAAGUCAGUGGUGAAAGCCCAUCGCUCAACGAUGGAACGGCCAUUGAUACUGCUAGACUUGAAUUAUUAGGAAGUAACUAGAAUAUGUAGUGUAGCGGUGAAAUGCUUAGAUAUUACAUGGAAUACCAAUUGCGAAGGCAGGUUACUACUAAUGGAUUGACACUGAUGGACGAAAGCGUGGGGAGCGAACA